GUUGAAAUCAGGUGCAUUUGAAAAUACUUAUUUUUUCGAUCAUUGAUUCCAUGGCCAAAUUUCAACUGAUAUACAUUCUCAAUUAUAAUAAGUAAGCAUUAUAUUACAGUUAUCACAAGACUUGUCUGAAGGUCCCAUGGUACCAGUUGAAAGAAACGAACGGAGGUAUGGAGACUGUUUAGUGACAAGAAUAAGGGGUUAAAUACAUGUAAAAAAUCCUGAUCUUUCAUAAAUCUCUCAGAUAUUGGACAGACACUUCAGAACAAACUUCCUUUUGAUCUGUUGUUCCGUGUAGUGAAUCUAUUAUUCGAUGCAUUUGAAUAUGCUAAUAGCAGUAAGGUCCCCCAAAAAAUUCAUCCAAUCAUAUUUUUCUUCUGUUUUUUUUUUUAUUCUUCAAGGGGUCUUAAAAUUCAAAAAUCAAACAGCCAAAUGAUCCUUAGUAGAACCCCCACCCUCUGGCUUAGACAGGUUUUAAUAGGAAAGAGGAACCAAUUGUAGAUCGCAACAAAAUAUUUAUCUAUCACAUGCAGUAAGUUCCUCUGGAUAAGAGCGUCUGCUGAAUGACCAAAAUGUAAAUGUAAAAACAAAAACACUUGCAAAGCAUUCUGGAUAUUAUUCUAAUGAGCUCCGCCCCCAAACAAGUACAAAUUUGGCCGGUGCGGACCAGAUCCAAAUCUGAACGAAUCAUAGACGUCUAGGCUGUUUCACAAGUUUGAACAUCACAGUACAGUACGGCACAGUUUAGCACAGUAGAGUACGGUAGUUUUAUUCAGUCGAGUACAAUACAGUAGAGUUGAAUUAGAGUAGAGUACAGUAAUUCAGUACAUUAGAGUACACUACAGUAAAGUAUAGUUUAAUUCAGUACAAUACAUGUUAAUUCAGUAGAGUACAGUACAGUAUAGUUUAAUUCAGUAGAGUACAUGUUAAUUCAGUACAGUACAGUAUAGUUUAAUUCAGUAGAGUACAAUAGAGUACACUAUACUUUACUGUACUAAGUUACUGUACACUGCUGUCCAAACCUGUGAAACAUAGAUGUCUAUGAUUGGUUCAGAUUUGGUCCGGACCAAAAUUCAACAUCCCUGGGGGAUGAAAUUUAAAAAAUAUUUUUGAAAGACUGAGGACCGAAAAGAGAUGUCCAGAAGACAUCAAAACGCUUACUGGGAUGCUGUUUUAAGGGCAGUGGGGAUACAGGCCUAACAGUCAUAUUAUGCCAAUAAGUCCCUCCAAUGAUCUACUCUACUUAACCUAUACAGGUGCUCAUUCUCACAUAACCUACAGCAUACACAUUCACUAAGUUUAAUUCUCAUUGAUGGCAUGGCAGUAUUGAUCAAUCCAGAUCGGAGAUCUACCUGUAUCCCCCAUAUAAAAAGGUACUGUCCAUCUUGACUGUCUCCCAAACAAAAUCAACAAUAACCACAAACAUUCAUCCCACCACUCAAAAAUCACAAACCACCACUCCCCUUCCAGUAUCCUGAAGAAUACGUUUCCAUCCCCUACUUUCUCAUUUUAAUCAAGGACCCUUACCAUAAACCUGGUUGGUAGUUGGUAUCUUCUACCCAACCCUACCCUUUAAACCUAAACCAGGAUCAUAUCCUCUACCCAACCCUUCCCCUUGAACCAGGAUCAUAUCCUCUAUCCAACCCUUCCCCUUGAACCAGGAUCAUAUCCUCUACCCAACCCUUCCCCUUGAACCAGGUUAAUAUCCUCUAUCCAACCCUUCCCUUUAAACCAGGAUCAUAUCCUCUAUCCAACCCUUCCCUUUAAACCAGGUUAAUAUCCUCUAUCCAACCCUUCCCUUUAAACCAGGAUCAUAUCCUCUAUCCAACCCUUCCCUUUAAACCAGGUUAAUAUCCUCUAUCCAACCCUUCCCUUUAAACCAGGUUAAUAUCCUCUAUCCAACCCUUUAUUUUAUUUUAUAUUUUUUUUACUUUUACUUCUUUACAUUUUUUAAUCCAUUAAAGUUUGUUUUAAUCAAAUCAAAUCAAGUCGAAGUAUAAAAAUGAGAACUCCAUCACCCUUGUACCGUUACCUUGCCAAAACCUUCACCAUACAUGCAGAAGAGGGUUAGAAGAGGAAGUCCUGAGGUGUCCCUGCCAGUCCCAGAGCUCUCAACUGUCUCCCUACUCCAUUAGUCUCUGUCAUCAAACACGUUUAGAUUGUUGUUUUUUGUUGACAUUUUGACAGUAUAUCAAUAUGUCCCCUCUAAAAGAUACAAAGGACAAGGUCAAAGGACAUACGGGGUUGCCCGAGUCCCUGAAACCGCCAACGUCUCACCUCUCUCCGGAACGCUGCGGUCGCACACCUAAAACCAAUCCCGGAGACAGUCUGGACAGCCUAUGCUACUGCUCUGGUGUUGCAUCGCUAUUUCGGUAUAUAUUAUAUCUAUUUAUAACAAGGCACGGUAUCAUUCGACAAUUUUAUAUCAUGGCUACAGACGGAGUUGACAACCACCACUAACGUUAGGCAAAUCAAGUCAAUAAGCUACACAGCGGACGUUUAUAAAAGGUACCCACGUGUAUGGUCGCUGUCUUCCUCUGGCGGUGCGCUACAACAUGCCACAAAGAUAAUAUAUAGGUGCUCCAACACGCACUGGAAAAUUAUAUCAACAUCUUUGUUUCAAUCCUUCUUGGUUAAUAGAAAGUUGGCAAAGGUAGACAGUAACACUGAAGCUGUCCCGAAAGGGUCCGUGUCUGUCUGAGUAUGCGAGUGGAGUACGGAUGUGUAAACGGAGCCGACUCCGAGGAUGUCACGACUCGUGGAUGUUUCCUCUUGUUGACUUGAGUUCGCAGCGCCAGCUGCAACUGUAUCUAGUCGAGUCCGCGUAACACAAGCGUCUGCAAGUGUCUGUGGAAUGUGUGUAGACUAGAGUGUGUGUGUUUGUGCGCGCACCGUAGUAUUUCCACCGGUCUGUCUGUGCUGAGAGUGCAUGGAGAAACUGCUAAACGAGAGACUGUCCCACGCUAUGAGUUCUGGAGCUGUGCCAGUGCCAAGAUGAGUUAGUAGACAACCGGUUUUAAAUCUGCAGUCUG
ensembl:lncRNA